UGAGCCACCACUGGUGGCUGACAAUUCCCUUAUUUACUAGCACCCCUGGGAACCUCGGAAUUGGUUUAGCAGGAUCCUAAAUUGGAGAUGAAGUUGUAGUGAAGUCCACAUCUGUCUAACUCAGAAUUCCAUGCCCUUUUAACCUUCCAGAAUGGUUGUUACUUUGUGUCAAGUUGAGAAGUCCAGAAGCUUCACUAAGCCUCUUUUGUGAGUGUCCUAACCAAGAGUGAUCAAAAAAUAGUGACUGCUGUUGCUGACUGAUGUCCAACAGAGAGACAAUCACCUACCACAUUCGCCAGAUCAGGCACCAUGCAACUUCUGACUCUGCUCCAUGGCCAAAACAAAUGUGAGAUAGACAAUUGUUGAAUAAAUCCAGGGCAUCAAGGCAGCUGUGAUAGCACAGCUAAUGACAUUCAUGAAAGAGGACUUCCAAAAGUGCUUCACAAAGAGGUAAAAAUGAUGGGUAAGUAUGUUUGGAGCAGGAGGAAGUUUUUUUCAUGGAGGAUUAAUCACAGUGUGACUUUAACUGUAGUAAACUGAAACAAUUCGUUUAGACAUUCAUCAUGUGUUUCUAUCAUAUCUUGUACAUUUGCCAGCUAGUAGAGGAGUUUUGUUUUUUUUUUUUUUUUUUUGUGGAAUGAACAGUGAGGAGAAACUCACUCCCUGGGGUAAAAGAAGCCUAUCACAAAAUCUUUCAUCACUGAGUACCCAGACGCAGAUUGCUUAUCAUUCAAGGUCUCUCUCCCCACCAGAUAAGUCCCUGGUCCCCACUUUACC